GUCAUGAGUACAAGAGCUUCUAAAAUACGAUGCAAGUCUGAAACUAAAAAGGCAAAUCUAACAUAAGGGAUAUCCUUUCUGAAUACUGAAUAACAGAAUAAGUAAAAGAUAGAGGGAGGUGUGGGCCACGGAACAGCCAAGCAGCUCACCACAACUCCAAGACACUCCAAACUCGGACUCAAACUGCUCCUCGAGAUGUGCUCCUACUUGGAAUCGAAUCUCA
rnacentral:misc_RNA from 1 species